rnacentral:rRNA from 1 species
CCCUUAGAUGUUCUGGGCCGCACGCGCGCUACACUGACGAAGCCAGCGAGCAUGUCCUACGCCGAUAGGUGCGGGGAAUCUUGUGAAACUUUGUCGUGCUGGGGAUUGAUUUUUGAAAUUCUUGAUCAUGAACGAGGAAUUCCUAGUAAGCGCAAGUCAGCAGCUUGCGUUGAUUACGUCCCUGCCCUUUGUACACACCGCCCGUCGCUACUACCGAUUGGAUGGUUUAGUGAGCUCUCUGGAUUGGCGCCGCCGUUCCCAGCGAUGGGCGCGGCGGAUGCUGAGAAGCUGAGCUAACUGCGCUAUCUAGAGGAAGUAAAAGUCGUAACA